CAUUUAUUUUACUGUCUUAGGUCAAUUCUACCGAUUCAUCAAGAAGUGCGAGAUCGAUAUACAAUCAUUGUCACCGGAACACAAUGUAGGCCUAUAUUAAAUGCCGGAACACAAUUUAAUAUCAUUAGCCAGAUUUAAGUUCGGAAUGGUGUUUCUUCUAAUUUUGGAAAAUCUACAUAUAGUGUCUCAGGUCAAGUCUACCGUUUCAUCAUUAAGUGCGAGAAAAUGUACAUAAUUAUAGUGUCUCAGGUCAACUCUACCAAUUCAUCAAGAAGUGCGAGAUCGAUGUACAAUCAUUGUCACUACUGGAACACAAUGUAUAUUAAUUUUCCGGAAAACAAUGUAAUAUAAUUAGCCAGAUUUAUGUUGUUUUCUGAUAAUCGCGCGUGGAUAUUUAUUAGGUCUUAUACCAAUGAAUCAUCGGAAUUUAAUUAAAUGUGCAAGUUAUGUUUCUUGAACAACGAACAAGUAAUCCUCGAACGAUAUUAUAUACCGUACUUAUAUACUUAAAUGCCUAAGUAUUCAUAUAAAGCUACAAUCGUAUUUUAUUUAUAUUACGUUUAUAUAGUUCUGAUGCAACAUUUCGUAGUAUAUUAUAAGAAAUAAAAGUUAACUGAUGUGUAAUUUAAAA